rnacentral:lncRNA from 12 species
GGUGGCCCGGGCCAGCGGGCACUCCCCGGGCUGUGGGGAUGGGGAGGGAGAUGUCCCAGGAACCCCCCCGAGCCCCCUCAGCUGCAGUGCCCCGUGCAAGGUGAGGUCAGCUGGAGCAGAGCCCAACCAUGAGGAUCACUGCAACAUCACCCCAGGAGAGCAGCUCUGAAUGUGACAGUCUGCAGACUUGGGCAUCAGUUCAGCCAGCUUCCUCAUCUCAGCAGAUCUGCAGAUCCA